rnacentral:rRNA from 1 species
CCUACGGGCGGCUGCAGUGGGGAAUAUUGGACAAUGGGGGCAACCCUGAUCCAGCCAUGCCGCGUGUGUGAAGAAGGCCCUCGGGUUGUAAAGCACUUUCAGUGAGGAAGAACGCCUGGUGGUUAAUACCCAUCAGGAAAGACAUCACUCACAGAAGAAGCACCGGCUAACUCCGUGCCAGCAGCCGCGGUAAUACGGAGGGUGCGAGCGUUAAUCGGAAUUACUGGGCGUAAAGCGCGCGUAGGUGGCUUGAUAAGCCGGUUGUGAAAGCCCCGGGCUCAACCUGGGAACGGCAUCCGGAACUGUCAAGCUAGAGUGCAGGAGAGGAAGGUAGAAUUCCCGGUGUAGCGGUGAAAUGCGUAGAGAUCGGGAGGAAUACCAGUGGCGAAGGCGGCCUUCUGGACUGACACUGACACUGAGGUGCGAAAGCGUGGGUAGCAAUCAGGAUUAGAUACCCUGGUAGUC